CUCAUCAGCUGAACCACGUAGAUUUCGUUCUGCUUUUUCGUAUCUUAUCAGUUACAAGUUGUCAGAAGAAGAAAGAUUUUCAAAUUUAAUGUAAAUCAGGCAUCGAUUUUUAUCCCAUCUACCUAUACCGAUCUAAGUUAAUUCCAAGUGGACUUGGAGGACAAAUCCCAGUCACGUGACGGGGUCCUAUUCACUUGGACGAGGACCGACUCCACGACCCCGUUUUGCGCGCGUUUUGGGGUUUUCGGCGUCACUCCGCUUGAAUGGAAGAGAGAAGUCGUAAUGCUUAAUAAUCCAAGUCAGAAGGUGACUCAAAGUCAAAUAAGGGGACGUUCAUAAAUUACGGGCUGUUGCGUUACGGGUCAACUUGCCUAACUGGUAAAAAUCGGGGUGAGACCCGUUACGAGGGGGGCAGAGUACACAAUUGGAACCGGCGAAAAUUUGGACACCUUUAAUACCGAAAAAUACGGAGAGUUUUUAACAUAUCGAAAUACUGUGACAGUUGCAGAGGAACAAUGUCAAAUUUAUUGUGAUACAAGGGGAACCUUCUGGCUGAAAAGUUUGAAGGGACGCACUCUUCUCAACGGGAAAUUAGUUCGAGAUUCCCCCGUCGAAUUAAAAUUUGGGGA